AAAUUGAAGAGUUUGAUCAUGGCUCAGAUUGAACGCUGGCGGCAGGCCUAACACAUGCAAGUCGAACGGUAACAGGAAGAAGCUUGCUUCUUUGCUGACGAGUGGCGGACGGGUGAGUAAUGUCUGGGAAACUGCCUGAUGGAGGGGGAUAACUACUGGAAACGGUAGCUAAUACCGCAUAACGUCGCAAGACCAAAGAGGGGGACCUUCAGGCCUCUUGCCAUCGGAUGUGCCCAGAUGGGAUUAGCUUGUUGGUGGGGUAACGGCUCACCAAGGCGACGAUCCCUAGCUGGUCUGAGAGGAUGACCAGCCACACUGGAACUGAGACACGGUCCAGACUCCUACGGGAGGCAGCAGUGGGGAAUAUUGCACAAUGGGCG
rnacentral:rRNA from 1 species